rnacentral:rRNA from 1 species
UGGGGAAUCUUGGACAAUGGGCGCAAGCCUGAUCCAGCCAUGCCGCGUGAGUGAUGAAGGCCUUAGGGUCGUAAAGCUCUUUCGCCAGAGAUGAUAAUGACAGUAUCUGGUAAAGAAACCCCGGCUAACUCCGUGCCAGCAGCCGCGGUAAUACGGAGGGGGUUAGCGUUGUUCGGAAUUACUGGGCGUAAAGCGCGCGUAGGCGGACCAGAAAGUUAGGGGUGAAAUCCCGGGGCUCAACCCCGGAACUGCCUCUAAAACUCCUGAUCUAGAGUUCGAGAGAGGUGAGUGGAAUUCCGAGUGUAGAGGUGAAAUUCGUAGAUAUUCGGAGGAACACCAGUGGCGAAGGCGGCUCACUGGCUCGAUACUGACGCUGAGGUGCGAAAGUGUGGGGAGCAAACAGGAUUAGAUACCCUGGUAGUCCACACCGUAAACGAUGAAUGCCAGUCGUCGGGUAGCAUGCUAUUCGGUGACACACCUAACGGAUUAAGCAUUCCGCCUGGGGAGUACGGUCGCAAGAUUA